UUCUGGAAUCUCCGGUUUCCUCCCACACUCCAAAGAUGUACAGGAUUGUAGGCUGAUUGGCUUGGUAAAUUUGUAAAUUGUCCUGAGUAUGUGAGGAUCGCUGGUCAGUGCGGUCUCAGUGGGCCGAAAGCCUUACUUUUGCACUGUAUCUCUAAACUAAACUUAAGUAAACUGAAGGGCACAGCCUCCGAAUAAAGGACAUACCUUUAGAAGAGAUGAGUGGGAAUCGCUUAGCCAGUGGGUAGUGAAUCUGUGGAAUUCAUUGCCACGAUGGCUGUGGAGGCCAAGUCAGUGGGUAUUUUUAAAGCAGCAAUUUAUUGGUACGGGUGUCAAAGGUUACGGGGAGAAGGCAGGAGAAUGGAGAUGAGAGGAAAGUCAGAUCAGCCACGAUUGAAUGGCGGAGCACUCAAUUGGCCGACUGGCUUCAUUCUGCUCCCAUGACUUAUGAACUUAUGAAUUUUGGGUUUCAUCCCGAUGGAAGUUUGAACAAAACAGUUUAUUAAUCUGUCUCUUCAACCUUCUUUUCCAACAGUUAUUGAGCAGAUUGGUAUACAAGGAGAUCCGGGGCUGGUGUGGAAGCCAGCCGAGGACACGAGGAUUUAAGGAGAUCUGACUGAGAAGAUCAUAAAAGAAACCUUGGAAAUUCAAUUUGUCGAUUAAUUCUGUUUUGCGUCAAAUAUCUGGUUCCAUCGGCGUGUGGGAGAAAAGUGUCAAAGGGAGGAAUAAAGGGUCUGUUUAAUGUUUUGAUUCUUUCCCAGAGCCGUAGCACAGAGAUUAAAGUCAGACCUGCCUUUUAUGAAUCUGUCAGCUAAAUCUUAGCCACUCACUGACUGAAGUUGGCCUGCUAAUUUAUGGUGAAAUGGUUUACAUUGAGGGAGCACAGUCUGUGUCUGAUGUACUGUCUUUUAAUAAAUAUGUACGCCAUUUGUAUAA